rnacentral:rRNA from 1 species
GACGAACCACACGAACGUUAUUCGGAAUUACUGGGCUUAAAGGGUGCGUAGGCGGCGUAGAAAGUUGGGUGUGAAAUCCCUCGGCUCAACCGAGGAACUGCGCCCAAAACUACUAUGCUUGAGGAAGAUAGAGGUAAGCGGAACUUACGGUGGAGCGGUGAAAUGCGUUGAUAUCGUAAGGAACACCUGUGGCGAAAGCGGC